rnacentral:rRNA from 1 species
AUUGAACGCUGGCGGCAUGCUUUACACAUGCAAGUCGAACGGUAACAGGCCGCAAGGUGCUGACGAGUGGCGAACGGGUGAGUAAUGCAUCGGAACGUGCCCAGUCGUGGGGGAUAACGCAGCGAAAGCUGUGCUAAUACCGCAUACGAUCUGUGGAUGAAAGCGGGGGACCGUAAGGCCUCGCGCGAUUGGAGCGGCCGAUGUCAGAUUAGGUAGUUGGUGGGGUAAAGGCUCACCAAGCCGACGAUCAGUAGCUGGUCUGAGAGGACGACCUGCCACACUGGGACUGAGACACGGCCCAGACUCCUACGGGAGGCAGCAGUGGGGAAUUUUGGACAAUGGGCGAAAGCCUGAUCCAGCAAUGCCGCGUGCAGGAAGAAGGCCUUCGGGUUGUAAACUGCUUUUGUACGGAGCGAAAAGGUCUCCUCUAAUACAGGGGGCUCAUGACGGUACCGUAAGAAUAAGCACCGGCUAACUACGUGCCAGCCGCCGCAGUAA